GAUGAACGCUAGCGGCAGGCUUAAUACACGCAAGUCGGAGGGGCAGCACGAAUAGCAAUAUUUGGUGGCGACCGGCGCACGGGUGCGUAACACGUAUACAACCUACCUAUAACGAGGGGGAUAGCCUUUCGAAAGAGAGAUUAACUACCCCGUAAUAAAUUGAGUGGCAUCACUUGAUUUUGAAAGCUACGGCGGUUAUAGAUGGGUAUGCGUCUGAUUAGCUAGUUGGUGAGGUAACGGCUCACCAAGGCGACGAUCAGUAGGGGAUCUGAGAGGACUAACCCCCACACUGGUACUGAGACACGGACCAGACUCCUACGGGAGCAGCAGUAAGGAAUAUUGGUCAAUGGAGGCAACUCUGAACCAGCCAUGCCGCGUGCAGGAUGACGGCCCUAUGGGUGUAAACUGCUUUUGUACCAGAGAAAACCUACUCACGUGUGAGUAGCUGAUAGUAUGGUAAGAAUAAGCAAUCGGCUAACUUCGUGCCAGCAC
rnacentral:rRNA from 1 species